CUGCAAUUUCAAUUGUAUAUAAUGGCACUCUGGAAAUGUACUAUUGUGAUCAUAGUUUUAUAUAUCUGGGGUUGUAAUUCUCAAUCUCAAGACAAAGUUGAUCAGCAUAUAAGGAUUCAGUCUGCUUUUGAAGAUAGGUGGAGCCUGUGGGGAUCUGAAAUAGAGCAACUCAACUUUUGCUUUGUACAUUGCAAACAUG